CAGUAGCCGCGGUAAUACAGAGGGUGCGAGCGUUAAUCGGAUUUACUGGGCGUAAAGCGUGCGUAGGCGGCUUCUUAAGUCGGAUGUGAAAUCCCUGAGCUUAACUCAGGAAUUGCAUUCGAUACUGGGAAGCUAGAGUAUGGGAGAGGAUGGUAGAAUUCCAGGUGUAGCGGUGAAAUGCGUAGAGAUCUGGAGGAAUACCGAUGGCGAAGGCAGCCAUCUGGCCUAAUACUGACGCUGAGGUACGAAAGCAUGGGGAGCAAACAGGAUUAGAUACCCCCGUAGUCCCUGUCUCUUAUAC
rnacentral:rRNA from 1 species